rnacentral:rRNA from 1 species
CAGCAGCGCGGGAAUACAGAGGGUGCAAGCGUUAAUCGGAAUUACUGGGCGUAAAGCGCGCGUAGGUGGUUCGCCAAGUUGGAUGUGAAAUCCCCGGGCUCAACCUGGGAACUGCAUCCAAAACUGGCGAGCUAGAGUAUGGUAGAGGGUGGUGGAAUUUCCUGUGUAGCGGUGAAAUGCGUAGAUAUAGGAAGGAACAUCAGUGGCGAAGGCGACCACCUGGACUGAUACUGACACUGAGGUGCGAAAGCGUGGGGAGCAAACAGGAUUAGAUACCCGCGUAGUCCCUGUCUCUUAUACA